UCAAAUGUUCAACAUGCGCUACACGUAGUUCCAAAUAGCUUUUCCAUAUUUUAUAGCUUCCCGGGAGUUCUGAACAAGCUCUUUCAAAUAAAAGCACACGCUUUUCCAAAGUAGAUCCUUCAUGGGUCUUUAUAUAUCGUAACCAACUUUUCAGAGAAUAUGGAUCACGUAGCAAUUCAAGCUCAAACGGCUCGUCAUCAACAUUAAUUAGAUCAAAAUUAACUUUCAGUGGAA